rnacentral:rRNA from 1 species
UACGGGGGGGGCAAGCGUUGUUCGGAAUUACUGGGCGUAAAGGGCUCGUAGGCGGCCAACUAAGUCAGACGUGAAAUCCCUCGGCUUAACCGGGGAACUGCGUCUGAUACUGGAUGGCUUGAGUUCGGGAGAGGGAUGUGGAAUUCCAGGUGUAGCGGUGAAAUGCGUAGAUAUCUGGAGGAACACCGGUGGCGAAGGCGGCAUCCUGGACCACGACUGACACUGAAAAGCGAAAGCCAGGGGAGCAAACGGG